rnacentral:snRNA from 1 species
AGAUGUGAGGGCGAUCUGGCUGCGACAUCUGUCACCCCAUUGAUCGCCAGGGUUGAUUCGGCUGAUCUGGCUGGCUAGGCGGGUGUCCCCUUCCUCCCUCAAUGAUCCAUGUGUGUCCCUUCCAAAGCUGUGUGCUUGGUCGAAGAGGACGACCACCCCCGAUAGAGGAGGACCGUUCCUCGGUCAAGGGUAUACGAGUAGCUGUGCUCCCCUGCUGGAACCUCCAAACAAGUUCUCAAGAAUAGUUGCUCACCAUAAUGAGAAAGAAUGUGGUAGGCUGGCCAGGUAGCUCAGUGGACUAAAGUACCUCCUUAAGCAGAGCAUAG